GUCGAGAAUCUUCCGCAAUGCGCGAAAGCGUGACGGAGCGACACCGCGUGAUGGAUGAAGUCCUUCGGGGCGUAAACAUCUUUUAUAAAGGAGGAAAUUUUUGACGUUACUUUAUGAAUAAGGGGCUCCCAAUCUCGUGCCAGCAGGAGCGGUAAUAUGAGAGCCUCAAGCGUUAUCCGGAAUCAUUGGGCGUAAAGGGUGCGUAGGUGGUUUGAUUAGUCUCCCGUUAAAACUUCGAGCUUAACUCGAAAAGAGCGGGGGAAACGGUCAAACUAGAGUAUGUGAGAGGUGUGUGGAACUCAUGGUGUAGGGGUGAAAUCCGUUGAUAUCAUGGGGAACACCAAAAGCGAAGGCAGCACACUGGCACAUCACUGACACUGAGGCACGAAACCUAAGGUAGCGAAUGGGAUUAGAUACCCUUGUAGUCC
rnacentral:rRNA from 1 species